rnacentral:rRNA from 1 species
GGAGGAUCCAAGCGUUAUCCGGAAUCAUUGGGUUUAAAGGGUCCGUAGGCGGUCAGAUAAGUCAGUGGUGAAAGCCCAUCGCUCAACGGUGGAACGGCCAUUGAUACUGUCUGACUUGAAUUAUUAGGAAGUAACUAGAAUAUGUAGUGUAGCGGUGAAAUGCUUAGAGAUUACAUGGAAUACCAAUUGCGAAGGCAGGUUACUACUAAUUGAUUGACGCUGAUGGACGAAAGCGUGGGUAGCGAACAGGAUUAGAUACCCUGGUAGUCCACGCCGUAAACGAUGGAUACUAGCUGUUGGGAGCAAUCUCAGUGGCUAAGCGAAAGUGAUAAGUAUCCCACCUGGGGAGUACGUUCGCWARARKG